rnacentral:rRNA from 1 species
AGAAUCAACGCUGGCGGCGUGCCUAACACAUGCAAGUCGCACGAGAAAGGGACUUCGGUCCUGAGUAAAGUGGCGCACGGGUGAGUAACACGUGAAUCAUCUACCUCCGAGUGGGGAAUAACCUAGAGAAAUCUGGGCUAAUACCGCAUAACACUUACGAGUCAAAGCAGCAAUGCGCUUGGAGAGGAGUUCGCGGCAGAUUAGUUAGUUGGCGGGGUAAUGGCCCACCAAGACGAUGAUCUGUA